UCUCGACAACGGAUAUCUCGGCUCUCGCAUCGAUGAAGAACGUAGCGAAAUGCGAUACCUAGUGUGAAUUGCAGAAUCCUGUGAACCAUCGAGUCUUUGAACGCAAGUUGCGCCCGAGGCCAUCCGGUUAGGGCACGCUUGCCUGGGCAUCAUG
rnacentral:rRNA from 1 species